rnacentral:rRNA from 1 species
AGUGAACGCUGGCGGUAGGCCUAACACAUGCAAGUCGAACGGCAGCACAGGAGAGCUUGCUCUCUGGGUGGCGAGUGGCGGACGGGUGAGGAAUACAUCGGAAUCUGCCCAGUCGUGGGGGAUAACGUAGGGAAACUUACGCUAAUACCGCAUACGACCUUCGGGUGAAAGAGGGGGAUCGCAAGACCUCUCGCGAUUGGAUGAGCCGAUGUCGGAUUAGCUAGUUGGCGGGGUAAUGGCCCACCAAGGCGACGAUCCGUAGCUGGUCUGAGAGGAUGAUCAGCCAAACUGGAACUGAGACACGGUCCAGACUCCUACGGGAGGCAGCAGUGGGGAAUAUUGGACAAUGGGCGCAAGCCUGAUCCAGCCAUACCGCGUGGGUGAAGAAGGCCUUCGGGUUGUAAAGCCCUUUUGUUGGGAAAGAAAUCUUUCAGGCUAAUACCCUGGGAGGAUGACGGUACCCAAAGAAUAAGCACCGGCUAACUUCGUG